UGAACGCAUCAUGUUAUGUCAAAAAUUGGCGCCAAAUUACGUUAAUUUAAAUUGCGCGAAAAAAAGAAUUAGUUUAUUUUAAUUUUAACAGACAAUGGAACUUGUGUUUUAAUUAUUUUUUUUUGUGUUUACGUAAUAAGUUUUUACGAUGAAGUUUUUAUUGUUUUCGAUUUUAAUAUUCUGUGCGGUGAAAUGCGAUGAUGGAAGCAAUAACUACUACGUCGUCGAAGUUCUCGAAGAUGAAAUAAGCAGGGACUUCAGAAAACCUUUCCGUGUUUACUGGAACGUGCCAACAGUUCAGUGCAAAUCGAAGAAAAUACUAUUCGACAAUUUAUAUGAAAAAUAUGGCAUCAUUCAGAAUGAUGACGACAGCUUCAAUGGCGAGCAAAUCACGAUCAUGUACGAACCGGGUCUGUUUCCGGCUAUAUUCAAAAAUGAAACCAGUGGGAAAUACCGUUUUAGGAACGGUGGUGUCCCCCAGGAAGGGAAUUUGGAAGAGCAUUUGAAGGCUUUUCGAGCGGAUAUGGAGGAAAUUGUACCAAACCCGGACUUUAGUGGCAUUGGAAUCAUAGAUUUCGAAUCAUGGCGGCCCAUCUUUCGGCAGAACUUCGGUACUCUAGUUCCAUACAAGGACGUUUCCUAUGAAAUUGAGAAGAAAUUGCAUUGGUGGUGGCCCAAGAGUUGGAUUAACACGGAGGCGAAGCAACGCUUCGAAGCAUCUGCUAGAACAUUUAUGCAGACGACGUUAUCCAUUGCGAAGCAAAUGCGUCCUAAAGCGCUUUGGGGAUACUACGGGUUUCCACACUGCUUUAACAUGGCGGGGCAGAAUUUAAAGGAGGAUUGUGCUCCGAAUGUUUUAGCUGAAAACGACAUAACUUACUGGAUGUGGUCUGAGAGCACAGCGCUGUACCCGUCGGUGUACAGUUCAAAGAAUCUAUCUUCAGACCAGUUAGGGUCACUAGUUCGAGGUCGGGUCAGAGAAGCUAAUCGAGUUAGACGAUACGAGACACCGAUACUGCCUUACUAUUGGUUUAGAUAUCGUGAGGGUGGAUAUAUGACAGAAGAAGACCUAAACGUUGUUCUCAAGUCUUUUUACAAAUCAAACGCAUCCGGAUUCAUCAUAUGGGGUAGCUCAAACGACGUGAAUACAGUUAGCAAAUGCAAUAAUCUGUAUUCUUACGUCGAAAAAGUUUUGGGACCUACUGUAGCGAAAUACAUUAAGAAAAUAAACAUAGCCAAUGACGUUAUCAUCGAAACACCACCUGAACUUAAUUUCAUUAAUGACACUGUCACCAGUGAUAUAAAUAUGACGAAUAAAACAAGUGUUGUCGAAUCUUCCGAGAAUAGCACCAAUAGCUUUGUCAGAAAAGGAGAAAUAGAUCCAGAGUAUGAUUGGAUACCACCAGAGAAUUACUCUCAAGAUAUUUCACAAAACGUUGAAAAAGAAUUACAAAAGAAAGGUUUUAAUAAAACAGAAGAUAUAAAUGAAAUGAAGACAUUAAACGACAGUGCUGUUGUUGAUAUGAUAUUUGACGCUUUGAUAAAAGCUGAUAAUUAUAAUGAAAGUGAAAAUAGCAAACAGACAACUAGAAAUAUCGUGAACGAAACAUUCUUUUCAAAUAAUAACAAUAGUAUAGAAAUAACCGAAGCGCCCAUUAUUAAGGAUACUGAUUCCUUGAAUUCUUUAAUCACAAAAGAUCCAUUAGGUUUUAUAGAACAUCUUGCGAUAGAAGAGGCAAAAAAUGAGUAUUUUGAUGAAACAAUAAAUAUAGACGAAUAUAAAGAUGAAGAUGAAGAAAUUAGAUUAAAAGAUUCUUCCAUUGAUAAUAUCUUACCCAUUGAAGAUAACCAAAGGCCAUUUUCGACUCCUGCUACAAAUAAUUUAUUAAAUAAAGAUGUAAUAGUUAAUGUUGCGAGUGACACUACAACAUCAAUAAGUGAUACAACCGUGAAAGUUCCUUCUAAUAUUGAAGAAAACAAUAUGAAAUCUAAAAAUGAAAAUAUCUUUAUAAAUAUAUUAGAUUUUUUGUUAAACGGAAAUUCCAAUUCAGAAAAUGAAAGUGGAAAACAAUAUAUAAAAAGUAAACAUAAUAAAUUGAAAAAAAAUACUGCAGAUUCCGACUCAUCAGUAAAAGAAUUAUCAAACGAUGAUGACUCAGAAAAUUUAGAUACCAAUUUUUCUAUUGAAAGCAUCACAAACAAUGAUGAAUUUGUAAACAACAGUACUGAAAUCUAUACAGAAAUAUCAAAAACAAAUGAAGAAGAAUCUCAAGGAAUUAUAUUUGAAAUAGAUCAGACAACCGAAAUUUAUUUGCCUUACAAUAAAGAAAAUAAUGAAUCUAGAUCUUUAUCAACAACAGAAGAAAGUAACGAAGAUUUAAUAACCUUCAACGAUGAAUUUGACGUUUUGAUGGAAAAUACAACUGAUUUACAUUUUGAAUCAUCCACACAAUACGACGAAAAUAUAGAAACCAAUAAUAAUGAGAACAAUUCAUUUUUAUUAGCAGUUAAUCUCUCGUCUUCCACGAAUACAAUUCUUUCUACAGAUAAAAAUAUAAAUACAGAUGUAUAUACGACGGAAGAUUCUAAUACGAGUGAAAGUGUUACAGUGACAGAAAGUGGAGACAGUGAAUUCAUUACAAUUGAAAAUAAAGAUGACGUUUUAUAUGAAGAUAAAAACGAAUCGUUAUUUACAACAGACGCUGCAGCUGAUCAGGUGAGUGUAUCAUCCAGCUUCGCUUUGGGGUCCAACUCGAAUUCCAUGUAUUUCUAUAUCUAUUCUACUUUCAUAUUUUUUAAUAAUAUAUUUAUCAACAGUAUAUCUUAAGACAUCCAGUUCAACUGCAUUUAAUACUUUUUCUUUUUCAUUGUUGCCUUCAAAAAGAGUCAUUGAAGAUUCUAUAGAAUCUUUUCCUGAUUUACUUAUAAGUAAAUCAGGAAUUUUUAGGCUGCGGUCAGAUUUAUAUGUAUGUAUAUUUGAAUACUGAUGUCGAAUAGAGUUUAACAGUAUUUAACUAAAGUGGAACUAUAAUUUUCUUUAUGUUGCAAGACUUACAAGAGGGUCUUGAUCUUUUUGGAUAACAAUGUUUUAUAUCAAUUAAUCAAUCAACUAUCAAAACCAAUAAUAUUUUCAAUUUGAUUGACGAACUAUGAGGAGUAUUUUCGUAUUAUUCUACAAUAUUAAAAUGUUGUAGAAUAAUCCCACCCUAGAUUAGGUUACUGGGUGCUUUGUAUAUCUGUAACAGUAGUUCAUAUUCUUUUCUACAAAUCAUCUCAACAAAUACAAUUUGACAGGAAAAAACGUAUCUUUCCAACGAUAUCAACCUUGGUAAAUGUUUUAACCUAAAGCGCCGUUUGUGAAUAUCUUAUAAUAAGAAUAUUUUAAUUUUAAUACAUGUCUUUGGUAAUAGAAUAGCAUUUUGCGUGCCAGCACAUUUAAAUCUAAGUCAGAAAUUAUUCUUCUUUAGUUGGAACAUUUAUUUUUAAUUAUCUAUCUAUCGAUCAAUUCACAAAAGAGGACUCUUCAUGUUAAAUUAUCGUGGAAGGGCGCCUUCGUGAUUGAAUAGAUACGCCUUUACUGAAAAACGUCGUAUGAUACAAAAGCUACACAAUUUUUUUUUAACUGUCAAAAUAACUCAGGACAAAGAAAAAGAUCAUGUUAAUCUAUUCAUCCGCAAUAAGUACAAUGUUAAUUUAAAAUGUCAACGGAGUGAUAAAAAGAUUUGUUGUUGGAAUUUAUAAUAUUAUGAAUGUAAAUCUUUUUUUUUUUAAUAAUAGCUUAAAUAAUUCCAUCACUUAUAUUUUAUCUGUGA